AGUGAACGCUGGCGGUAGGCCUAACACAUGCAAGUCGAACGGCAGCACAGGAGAGCUUGCUCUCUGGGUGGCGAGUGGCGGACGGGUGAGGAAUACAUCGGAAUCUACCUUUUCGUGGGGGAUAAUGUAGGGAAACUUACGCUAAUACCGCAUACGACCUACGGGUGAAAGUGGGGGACCGCAAGGCCUCACGCGAUUAG
rnacentral:rRNA from 1 species